GAUGAAGAACGUAGCGAAAUGCGAUAAGUAAUGUGAAUUGCAGAAUUCAGUGAAUCAUCGAAUCUUUGAACGCAUCUUGCGCUCCUUGGUAUUCUGAGGAGCAUGCCUGUUUGAGUGUCAUUAAAUCCUCAACCGCACUGACUUUGAAUUGGUGUGGCUUGGAUUUGGGGGGAAAAUUGUUGUGGGCUUUUUUGUAUAGUCUGCUCCCCUGAAAUUGAUUAGCGGUACCUUUGUGGAACUGUCUACAGGUGUGAUAAUUAUCUACAUCCUAGACAUCUGCUGGAAUGCUGCUUUCUAAACCUUACUUGUAUUGACAAUCUUGACCUCAAAUCAGGUAGGACUACCCGCUGAACUUAAGCAUAUCAAUAAGCGGAGGA
rnacentral:misc_RNA from 1 species